rnacentral:rRNA from 1 species
CUCAAAGGAAUUGACGGGGACCCGCACAAGCGGUGGAUGAUGUGGUUUAAUUCGACGCAACGCGAAAAACCUUACCUACCCUUGACAUGCCUGGAAUCCUGCAGAGAUGUGGGAGUGCUCGAAAGAGAGCCAGGACACAGGUGCUGCAUGGCCGUCGUCAGCUCGUGUCGUGAGAUGUUGGGUUAAGUCCCGCAACGAGCGCAACCCUUGUCAUUAGUUGCUACGAAAGGGCACUCUAAUGAGACUGCCGGUGACAAACCGGAGGAAGGUGGGGAUGACGUCAGGUCCUCAUGGCCCUUAUGGGUAGGGCUACACACGUCAUACAAUGGCCGGUACAGAGGGCUGCCAACCCGCGAGGGGGAGCCAAUCCCAGAAAACCGGUCGUAGUCCGGAUCGCAGUCUGCAACUCGACUGCGUGAAGUCGGAAUCGCUAGUAAUCGCGGAUCAGCUUGCCGCGGUGAAUACGUUCCCGGGUCUUGUACACACCGCCCGUCACACCAUGG